GGGUGCGAUCAUACCAGCAUUAAUACACCAGAUCCCAUCAGAACUCCACAGUUAAGCGCGCUUGGGCCAGAGUAGUACUGGGAUGGGUGACCUCCCUGGAAGUCCUGGUGUUGCACCCU
rnacentral:rRNA from 1 species